GACGAACGCUGGCGGCGUGCUUAACACAUGCAAGUCGAACGGAAAGGCCCUGCUUUUGUGGGGUGCUCGAGUGGCGAACGGGUGAGUAACACGUGAGUAACCUGCCCUUGACUUUGGGAUAACUUCAGGAAACUGGGGCUAAUACCGGAUAGGAGCUCCUGCUGCAUGGUGGGGGUUGGAAAGUUUCGGCGGUUGGGGAUGGACUCGCGGCUUAUCAGCUUGUUGGUGGGGUAGUGGCUUACCAAGGCUUUGACGGGUAGCCGGCCUGAGAGGGUGACCGGCCACAUUGGGACUGAGAUACGGCCCAGACUCCUACGGGAGGCAGCAGUGGGGAAUAUGGCACAAUGGGCGGAAGCCUGAUGCAGCAACGCCGCGUGCGGGAUGACGGCCUUCGGGUUGGAAACCGCUUUCGCCUGUGACGAAGCGUGAGUGACGGGAAUGGGUAAAGAAGCACCGGCGAACUACGU
rnacentral:rRNA from 1 species